rnacentral:rRNA from 1 species
AGCGAACGCUGGCGGCAGGCCUAACACAUGCAAGUCGAACGGGAGCACAGUAAGAGCUCGCUCUUACGGGGGGCGGGUGGCGGACGGGUGCGGACGACAGCGGAGUCAACUUUUCCGGGGGGGAUAACGAAGGGAAACUGACGCUACUACCGCAUACGACCUACGGAUGAAAGCAGGCGAUCUUCGGACCUCGCGCGACCGAAUGAGCCGAUGUCGGAGUAGCUCGUUGGCGGGGUAACGGCCCACCAAGGCGACGAUCCGUAGCUGGUCUGAGAGGGUGAUCAGCCACACUGGAUCUGAGGCACGGCCCCGACUCCUACGCGGGGCCGCAGUGGGGACUCUUGCACGAUGGGCGCAAGCCUAAUCCAGGCCUACCGCGUGGGUGAAGAUGGCCUUCGGGUUGUUGAGCCCAUUUGUUCGGCAAGUUAUGCAGCCCGUUCGGCCCGCGCUGUGCUGACGGUACCCGCAGAAUAAGCCCCGGCUAACUUCGUG